AGGAUGAACGCUGGCGGUCUGCUUAACACAUGCAAGUCGAACGGAGUACCUCGGUACUUAGUGGCGGACGGGUGAGUAACGCGUGAGAAUCUGCCCUUAGGUCGGGGACAACCAUUGGAAACGAUGGCUAAUACCGGAUAAGCCGAGAGGUAAAAGAUUAAUUGCCUAGGGAAGAGCUCGCGUCUGAUUAGCUAGUUGGUGAGGUAAAGGCUCACCAAGGCAUCGAUCAGUAGCUGGUCUGAGAGGAUGAUCAGCCACACUGGGACUGAGACACGGCCCAGACUCCUACGGGAGGCAGCAGUGGGGAAUUUUCCGCAAUGGGCGAAAGCCUGACGGAGCAAGACCGCGUGAGGGAGGAAGGCUCUUGGGUUGUAAACCUCUUUCUUGGGGAAGAACAAAAUGACGGUACCCAAGGAAUCAGCAUCGGCUAACUCCGUGCCAGCAGCCGU
rnacentral:rRNA from 1 species